rnacentral:piRNA from 1 species
UGAACAGAUGGACGGCAGGA